rnacentral:ncRNA from 2 species
UCAUAAUUUAAUAUGCACCUUCAUAUAUCCUCGAUAAUACGGUUCGAAAGUCUCUACCAGGUCACCUUAAAUGACUUGACUAUGAAGGCAGGUCAUUCUAUA